rnacentral:rRNA from 1 species
AUUGAACGCUGGCGGCAUGCUUUACACAUGCAAGUCGAACGGUAACAGGGUGCUUGCACCGCUGACGAGUGGCGUACGGGUGAGUAAUGCGUCGGAACGUGCCGAGUAGUGGGGGAUAACGCAGCGAAAGUUGUGCUAAUACCGCAUACGUACUGAGGUAGAAAGUGGGGGACCUUCGGGCCUCACGCUAUUCGAGCGGCCGACGUCUGAUUAGCUAGUAGGUGAGGUAAAGGCUCACCUAGGCGACGAUCAGUAGUGGGUCUGAGAGGAUGAUCCGCCACACUGGGACUGAGACACGGCCCAGACUGCUACGGGAGGCAGCAGUGGGGAAUUUUGGACAAUGGGCGAAAGCCUGAUCCAGCCAUGCCGCGUGUCUGAAGAAGGCCUUCGGGUUGUAAAGGACUUUUGUCAGGGAGGAAAUCCCUAGUGCUAAUAACACUGGGGGAUGACAGUACCUGAAGAAUAAGCACCGGCUAACUACGUGCCAGCAGCCGCCGUAA